rnacentral:rRNA from 1 species
GACGAACCGUGCGAACGUUGUUCGGAAUCACUGGGCUUAAAGGGCGCGUAGGCGGGCGAGCGAGUCCGGGGUGAAAUCUUUCGGCUUAACCGGAAAAGGGCCUCGGAUACCGGUCGUCUGGAGGGAGGUAGGGGCAGUUGGAACUUCCGGUGGAGCGGUGAAAUGCGUUGAUAUCGGAAGGAACGCCGGUGGCGAAAGCGAGCUGCUGGACCUCAUCUGACGCUGAGGCGCGAAAGCCAGGGGAGCGAACGGG